GCUUGGGACAGUUGGAGAAGACUUCUUAAAAGGUGAGGCUUAAAAUGGAUGAGGAGUUUGCAAUGUAGGGACAGGAGUAAAGUCAUUCCCAGGACAGGAAAGAAUGCGUGCAAGGCUCCAGGGCGCCCUAGAAAGAAGAAAAUGUGCUUUGUGCCUGGAGUGCUGGGUACAAAGGAUGUUAGAAAAGAGGUCUCAGGUUGGACAGAGCCAGACAGCACACUGGAGGAUUAGGAAGGACAGCUGCCAAAAACAAAUGCUUUCCUCUAAACGUGCUAGCAACACUAAAGAUUUCCAUAACCCAAAGUCAAGUACAAUGACAUAAUAGAAAGGAAGACAGAGCAAGUUGGGGGGAGUGGGGUAACAUAGCCAAUCCUUCAUUUAUCCAUAAUGGAAAUAAUAAAUACUAACUAAGUAAUAAUAGAAAUAAUGAGCAACGAGGAAGAAUUUAAAAUGGCAACAAAAUAUGGGAUGUACAAGUAAGACAAUUAGAUGUUACUAAACAGGCUAAAAAUGAUUGCAUCUAGGAGUGGGGCCCAGAAUGAGA